rnacentral:rRNA from 1 species
UACGUAGGGUGCAAGCGUUAAUCGGAAUUACUGGGCGUAAAGCGUGCGCAGGUGGUGAUGUAAGACAGUUGUGAAAUCCCCGGGCUCAACCUGGGAACUGCAUCUGUGACUGCAUUGCUGGAGUGCGGCAGAGGGGAUGGAAUUCCGCGUGUAGCAGUGAAAUGCGUAGAUAUGCGGAGGAACACCGAUGGCGAAGGCAAUCCCCUGGGCCUGCACUGACGCUCAUGCACGAAAGCGUGGGGAGCAAACAGG